rnacentral:rRNA from 1 species
AUACGGAGGGUGCAAGCGUUAUCCGGAAUCAUUGGGUUUAAAGGGUCCGUAGGCGGGCUAUUAAGUCAGAGGUGAAAUCCCACAGCUCAACUGUGGAACUGCCUUUGAUACUGAUAGUCUUGAGUUACAGUGAAGUAGAUAGAAUAUGUAGUGUAGCGGUGAAAUGCAUAGAUAUUACAUAGAAUACCGAUUGCGAAGGCAGUCUACUAACUGUAUACUGACGCUGAUGGACGAAAGCGUGGGGAGCGAACAGGAUUAGAAACCCCAGUAGUCC